rnacentral:rRNA from 1 species
GGCCGUUGGAGACCACAACGUUGAUAGGUGGGGUGUGUAAGCGUAGCGAUACGUUGAGCUAACCCAUACUAAUUACCCGUGAGGCUUAACCAU